rnacentral:other from 1 species
AUAAAACUAAAGCGCUUGUAUGACUUACCUCACAUUCGGGCCUAACACUUUUUGAACGGGAACGAAAAUCGCUUAUCAGUAUAAAAUGCUUCCUCUGAGAAGACUUUAGAAAGUAAGGCUAUCGUACCCACCUGAUUAUAUCAGGACCAAUUUAGGUAAGAAUCUACGGCGUUUUGGUUUUUUU